rnacentral:rRNA from 1 species
AUUGAACGCUGGCGGCAGGCCUAACACAUGCAAGUCGAGCGGAUGAAGGGAGCUUGCUCCUGGAUUCAGCGGCGGACGGGUGAGUAAUGCCUAGGAAUCUGCCUGGUAGUGGGGGAUAACGUCCGGAAACGGGCGCUAAUACCGCAUACGUCCUGAGGGAGAAAGUGGGGGAUCUUCGGACCUCACGCUAUCAGAUGAGCCUAGGUCGGAUUAGCUAGUUGGUGGGGUAAAGGCCUACCAAGGCGACGAUCCGUAACUGGUCUGAGAGGAUGAUCAGUCACACUGGAACUGAGACACGGUCCAGACUCCUACGGGAGGCAGCAGUGGGGAAUAUUGGACAAUGGGCGAAAGCCUGAUCCAGCCACGCCGCGUGUGUGAAGAAGGUCUUCGGAUUGUAAAGCACUUUAAGUUGGGAGGAAGGGCAGUAAGUUAAUACCUUGCUGUUUUGACGUUACCAACAGAAUAAGCACCGACUAACUUCGUG